rnacentral:lncRNA from 1 species
AGGUAAUACGAAAUAAAUACCACCAUCAGUUGAAUAUAGCAAGAACUUUAUAAAAGACGAGGCAGACUCACAGAUGGUUUAAGUACAUUAGUAUAUGUCUCAAAACUCUGAGAAACGUAUGACGGUUUUGCGUUCGCAUAUUUUUUUUAAUUAUUUUUUUAUUCUUUUUUUCUUUCAAAUAGAUCACACGCAUGAAAAAAGGUUGUUGCGUAAAGAGGUGUGUUUACAUCGUGCGUAAAAAGUACGAAGAUACAUCAAUCGAAAAAGAGUCAUUAGACGAAGAUAGAAGCUGAAAAAGGAAACGCUCGACUAGAUCGUUCGAUGAACUCCCUCUAGCCCUCGUGUUACGAGAUAUCGUCGAAAAUUAACAUACGUGUCUUUAAGGUGCGUUUUUUGUUCUUGUUCAGCCAUAACGACCGGAAGUUACUGCCAUUAUCGUAAAAAAUGUAAGUCCGUAUGGUUGUUGAUUGUUUUACGAAUCAUUUGUCAUUUAUCACUUGUCAAUGUUUAUCUUGUUUUUAAAAAAGCAUUCUUGUUUAUUUCUCAAUUAUACAGGAGAGAAUAUAACGAUAAAGUGGCAUGAGGAUAACAGUACCGAAAGUAUCGAUACGCAACACGAAAGAGAGAGUCUCAUCGAUAAGAAAAAACGUGACUUUCACUUCUGUUGGAGGAGAAUCAGGAAAAUAUAUCGUUAAAAUUACUGCGAGAAAAAUUAUUUCCAGCGAAGUAAUUCGCUUCGCAGGUGACCGUGGUUCGCGAACUAACACGUGAGCGGUCCUUACCGCGAAAAUGACCUAGGGAGUUGAUAUUGUUCUACGGCGUCAUUGUCCGUCAGCGCACCUCGACGUUCUUACGUGGAACUGCAGAAUUCCGUUUCGUUAGAAACUCAACGGCGAAUGAUAGAUCGGCUUUUAAGUUUCUAUCGUCAAGAUAAUCUUAGCGAUCGUUCAUCGUUCGUUAAGUCGGAUUAUGGAGCAUUUGCUAAUUAAGAAUCUGUUUUUCGUAGAUUUCGAUUGAAAGGAGAUGGGGGAAAUUAUCAAUAGGAUCAUUUAAAUACUAAGGAAAUUGAACAGAGAGAAAUAAAACAUAAAGGAAGAAAGGGAAAAGAAAAGAAACGAAGUAUUAUAUGGGAUCUAAUGAAAAAGGGCUUUCUGCAAUGGAUAUGCAUCACCAGUUACAUUCUUCAUAUUUCAUAUCUGGUUUUUAAGGAAAACCGAUAACCUAGAGCCAGGCGCGAUAUUAACGUUCCUCCCCCGACUCUCGGCACCGCUGAAAAGAGUUACAGACGCGGAAUAUCGAUGGACAAAAAUUAAUUAUGCGACGCUGGAGUGGGGAAGAGCAAUAUCGGGUCAGGAACGGAGAGCGAACGGGUAAGAGGCCGAUGUCCGAUAUUUACAUAGAUCGGACAAAAGCACGGGAGUCCUUUUAUUCGUUCCAUCGCUUAGAGCUUCCCAACUUCUGCUACUUCCGUUUUAAGCCUAAAAAUUCGAAGAAAUCCGCAUGAAUAAUUCCAAGAAUACUUGCAGAAUACGGAGUUAAUCUUUCAAACUAUUCGUCAUGGAUUGCUUAACUUCGCACGCAUCGAUUUCCAUGAAGCCCAAUUGACCCAGGCUGAUGAAAAAGACCAGAAGACGACGAAACUUGGUUUAAUCGAAGGAAGAAACUACAGAUAAUAAGAGAUAAGAGAAACCGUACAGAUGAUCGUAAUAUACGGCAGUAAAAGAUUGGAAUCAAGGACGAAGUCAAAGAGAGAGAAACGAGGCUCCUUGACCCGACUGAUACGCUGAUCCUCCUCAUAAAUUCCGAGAGUGCCUACCACAGUACAGCAUAGUUAUGUAUGUACUCCGCUUGGUGUUCCGCAUUUCUCGGCGACGAUGCCCGCACUCGGCCCUCGCGAGAGUGAGUUUAAUUGACUGAAGUGCCGAGCCGAAUCGCGGGCUCGAGGACUUCGAAGCGUGUAUGGGCGCUCGUUAACAUCGACAACACGUGGGAGAUAAGAUCAGAUGAUUUGUCAAUUUCUUUUAAAGCUCCAAUCUCGUUUCGUCUAUACAUUAAGGUAUUUCAAUUCUAUAGCAUAUUAUACGUACUUAACGCACUUUCCUGAAUUAAACUGGAUAAUUAUAUGAUGUACAGGAUGAACGAGAACUCUGGAUUACUCUGUAUUUAACGAGGCGUGAAAAUUCGCAUGAUUAUUUGUUAAACCAAGUAUGCGUGCAAACGUAUUUACAGGAUGUAUCGGGUCACUUAUAACUUUGAAAAUUGGAUACCAAUUGUGACUGAAAUGCUUGCGCUAGUGCUAUUUCAGCUAUCCGAAACAUGUAGAUAUUGGAUACGCUACGUAAUCCGAAUAUUGGAUAGAGCAUUUGAUAUUCCAGGUGUCGUGCGACAUAUAUCCAGUACACCAGCACCAAUUAGAACGCGCCAAAGCGGAAAUCGCAGGUUUAUCGCGCUGACAGACACGGGGAUUUAAUCGUUCGAUCGGAUUAGGUGCGAUUGUCAGAGCUGCUGUCACGCCUGUCGCAAGCGUUUCGAUAGAAAAUUGAAAACCGUGAAACAGGAGAGUUUAGACUGGCAAGGAGGGACACACGUGAGAUUCCUGUAAACGGUUCCAUUUCUUUAAUACGUGUUCGCUUUUGUGCGGACGCGAACGUUACGAUCGAUAAAAUCUGACAAAUUACACAACAAUACAAUGACAUUAGAUACGAUCGGUCUUUUGUUGCCGAUAAAAAUCUCCUCCAACUUGAUCUGGUCGCUGUUGUUUCGGACGAAUCACCGUGUCGAUUCGCGGCCGUUUCUCGGCUAUCUUUAUACUCUGUUUAAUUAAUUUCGACUAGAACCAAGUUCGAGGAUUGUUGGCCAUUAGGCGGGAUAUCUGACAAGCCUCGGGGACGUAUCAACGUCGACGAUUCCCGUCGGUGGUCCUGUACACACGACUGUAUAUUAGAUAAGAAAACUUUGAAUCGAGGAUACUGAUGGGAAGUGCGUGCGCUGCACGAGAGAUCGCUUCCCCUAUUUUUUCUUCUCUAUUACGUUCACAGAAACGUAUUACAUGUAAGUAGAUUCUGACGAUCCUCAGCCUUCAUAGACGUAGGAUCAUCCAGGAUCGCAGGAUCGUAUCUUUCAUUCAUCGUUUCGUUAUUUUUCUUUCCCUCUCGCUUUGUUUCUUAUUUCUUUUCCUUUUUUAACUUGACAAAUACAACGUCUUCUCCAAUUCUUGCCGUAGCUCAUUGUCAUCGCGAAAUUAAAAGAAGAAGCACGGACAAAUGCAAUCUUGACGACGAUGUGAAUUUAAGUGGGCAUUAUAUUAAAAUGGAAAUAAGUUCUCGCCGCUAGCUCAGCCGGCUAUAUCUUGGAAAUCGAACAGACGGCUUGAAAUUUAGUACAGUUAUAUACAAAGUAUACAGACUCCACUACUUCAGAGGAGGGAUACAACUUUCAUGCGACGUGUCGGUUUCUCGAUCAGCGCGAUUGCUGUUUCCGGUUAAAAGCACCGGCUCGAAUUUCGCAAAUACUGUUACUUCUGUACUCUAAAAUCCAAUGCCCAGGUAACCAAAAGACACUUAGACUAAUGAAAUAAUCGAACGCUAAGAUACAAUUUUUUAUUCAAAAUUAUCUCACAAGGUUGUUAUCUUUCAGAGUCUACGUCAUCGAGAUGAAGAAUGUUCGAAAACGUCUAUUAACUACAACAAUUAAAGGAAAUUUUCGUAAUAAAGAUGGAGCGAAAUCAGAGAUAUAUCGUGGCUGAAGAUGAAGGCCAGAGAUAGAAUGAGAUAGAAAACUAGCCAGAGGAAAUUAAGGAUAUCCCUGGCUUUCGUGAAACAUCAUCAGCUUUCGCGUCGGUGCUUUUAAUCAGGCAUCACGGAACCCAACGAGUUUCGUGUGUACAAGCAAGCCCGAAUCACCUGCGGGCACACGUGCGCGGUACACGACGAUUCAUGGUGGUCUGUUAAACGUAUAUGUGGUGUGUGGACUGACGGUGGCGUAUCGACCGUCUCGUUACCGAUGUAGCUAGAUGCGGACAUUGAUGUGCACGUAUCCUUCACGUACGUCUUCCGGUGUACGUCGUUAUUUGCAGCUACGAUUACACAGGAAAUGGAGAAAGGAAUUGGAUAUGGAGUCUUCAAAUGGGACGUCAUAUCUAGACGAAGAUAUGGGAUGAGGUAGAAGGACAGGUUUCACGAAUCGCUUAUGGAAUUCCUACUGUUCCGAAGAAAAUCGAUGUUGUAAUGGAAUAAUACCAAGUACUAGCACGUAGACUUCGCUGGUUUGAAUUGUACAUUUCCUUGUCUCCAGACAGGCGUAUUCCAAGUUGAGGUAGAAGAUGAAAAGUACUGAUUUGUGAAUUACUUUAGGUGGAGAAGGAGAAGGAAGAUGUAGGACUUUCCUGGUGAAAGGAAAGUUCGCACGAUGGGGUAUCUACAUCUGUCGAGGCUUGUAUAAAGCUUUGUCCAGUAUCUGCUCUUGACUAAAGAGGAAUUGAAGAAGGAGCAAACUGCUUUGGGAUGCAGGAGUGGCGAAGCGCAGUAAGUUAUCGGUUCUUUGGGAAUAAGGUGUACGGAGAUAACGCGAAUACAAGAACAGAGGUAUUUUUAGGGGCAAAGAAGGGAAGUCGAAAGCGCAAGAGAUAAAGGGAAUACAAGAUCCGAGGGAAUUGAAAAAUCUGAAAAAGGAAUAGGAAUCGAAGCAGAUAAAUUAAAUGCUGAGCUACUUCGGAGAAGAUCCUCGACUACCGUCCCAUUUGAAAAUUGAAAGCUCAGAAAUGAAGAACAGAAAUGAUAGAUGGCAAGAGAGGUGAUGGUAAAGUAGAUGAUAAAUAGACGACGCAAGGGCUGAGAGGUGCAAUAUCGUCGAAGACCUCGCACGUAUGGUGACACUAGACUGGUACAGGUACAGUAGAACAUGGCCAGAGUGGUUGAAGAAAGGAGUGUGUACUUUCGACGAGCAAUAAACUGGAUGUUUCUUCGAUCUAGGUGCUACAUGCGGCACGUUGUUCGUGCUUCUUUCACUCUAUAUAGGGAAUAUUCGUUAAUUUCUUUCUGGUAUAACUGCACCUUCGAUCGUGUUAUCUAGAACGCGUAGUUAUAUCUCCAGAUAGGUAAUUUAUCGAUAAAACGACGACGGUUAGCUUAAUUCGUAAUUGCUAAUUUUCGAGAAACAGAAUAAUUGUACACAUAUAUGUAUCAAUGAGUGAUUCGGAAUUGUAAAAUUGAUCGACGAAUGAGAUAAAGAUAGACUUGACAUACAUACAUACA